UACGUAGGGUGCGAGCGUUAAUCGGAAUUACUGGGCGUAAAGCGUGCGCAGGCGGUUCGUUGUGUCGGUGGUGAAAUCCCCGGGCUUAACCUGGGAAUGGCCAUGGAAACUGGCGAACUGGAGUGUGGCAGAGGGGGGUGGAAUUCCGCGUGUAGCAGUGAAAUGCGUAGAUAUGCGGAGGAACACCGAUGGCGAAGGCAACUCCCCUGGGCCUGCACUGACGCUCAUGCACGAAAGCGUGGGGAGCAACAGG
rnacentral:rRNA from 1 species